rnacentral:sRNA from 1 species
UCAUUUCGGUAGGUGAGGUUACCAUAGGGAUUUGGAGAUUGGAUUUGUAUCCGUUUUAUUGUAUAUGAAUCCAGAUGUUUUACAUCGGCUCCGGAGAUUGCUGCCGCGAGAUUGUGGAGACACAAUUAGUUGGUUAGCAGGCUGUGUCGAGAAGGCGCAACCUAAUGCAAUUGAUAUGCCCUGUGAUACUAAAGCUUGAACGGU